rnacentral:rRNA from 1 species
UACGGAGGGGGCGAGCGUUAUUCGGAAUUAUUGGGCGUAAAGGGCGCGUAGGCGGCUAGAUGUGUCAAAGGUGAAAUCCCUCGGCUCAACUGAGGAACUGCCUUUGAAACUGUCUGGCUUGAGGCCGGGAGAGGGUAGCGGAAUUCCCAGUGUAGCGGUGAAAUGCGUAGAUAUUGGGAGGAACACCAGUGGCGAAGGCGGCUACCUGGACCGGUUCUGACGCUGAGGCGCGAAAGCGUGGGGAGCAAACAGG